CCUACGGGAGGCUGCGGUGGGGAAUAUUGGACAAUGGGCGAAAGCCUGAUCCAGCCAUGCCGCGUGUGUGAAGAAGGCCUUCGGGUUGUAAAGCACUUUCAGUGGGGAAGAAAGCCUUGGGGCUAAUACCCUCGAGGAAGGACAUCACCCACAGAAGAAGCACCGGCUAACUCCGUGCCAGCAGCCGCGGUAAUACGGAGGGUGCGAGCGUUAAUCGGAAUUACUGGGCGUAAAGCGCGCGUAGGCGGUCUGAUAAGCCGGUUGUGAAAGCCCCGGGCUCAACCUGGGAACGGCAUCCGGAACUGUCAGGCUAGAGUGCAGGAGAGGAAGGUAGAAUUCCCGGUGUAGCGGUGAAAUGCGUAGAGAUCGGGAGGAAUACCAGAGGCGAAGGCGGCCUUCUGGACUGACACUGACGCUGAGGUGCGAAAGCGUGGGUAGCAAACAGGAUUAGAUACCCCAGUAGUC
rnacentral:rRNA from 1 species